rnacentral:lncRNA from 1 species
AUGCAGACCAGAAUGCGAAGCAACCUGGAGGCCAUUGGGAUGUUAAAUCAACAAUUAAACACCCUCAGCCAGGAAAAUGAGCAGCUGCGUAGGCAGCUGGAUGAAGAAAGGUGCAUGCGCAGACAAAUGGAGCGGCUUCUCCCUCCCACCUCCCAGCACUGCUCCACCCACCUCCCCGUCUCCCCCGGUGCCCACCCACCGCCUGAGUGCGCCUCCCUCCCUCCGCUCCCUCACCUGCCUCACCCACUGAGCUCGACUUGGGUGACGGGGGACACGAGCUCGGCCGAGUGGAGCUGA